CUAUAAUUGUCAGCUAAGUGGCGCACGGGUGAGUAAUGUAUAGAUAGCCUGCCCUUAAGAAAGGAAUAACAGUUGGAAACGACUGCUAAUGCCCUAUAUGCCUUUAAUACAUAAGUAUGCAAGGGAAACGCUUUAGUGCUUAAGGAUGGGUCUGUAUGGUAUCAGCUUGUUGGUGAGGUAAUGGCUCACCAAGGCUAUGACGCCUAACUGGUUUGAGAGGAUGAUCAGUCACACUGGAACUGAGACACGGUCCAGACUCCUACGGGAGGCAGCAGUGGGGAAUAUUGCACAAUGGACGAAAGUCUGAUGCAGCAACGCCGCGUGGAGGAUGACACAUUUCGGUGCGUAAACUCCUUUUAUAUAGGAAGAUAAUGACGGUACUAUAUGAAUAAGCACCGGCUAACUCCGUGCCAGCAGCCGCGGUAAUACGGAGGGUGCAAGCGUUACUCGGAAUCACUGGGCGUAAAGAGCGUGUAGGCGGGUAUAUAAGUCAGAAGUGAAAUCCAAUAGCUCAACUAUUGAACUGCUUUUGAAACUGUAUACCUAGAAUGUGGGAGAGGUAGAUGGAAUUUCUGGUGUAGGGGUAAAAUCCGUAGAGAUCAGAAGGAAUACCGAUUGCGAAGGCGAUCUACUGGAACAUUAUUGACGCUGAGACGCGAAAGCGUGGGGAGCAAACAGGAUUAGAUACCCUGGUAGUCCACGCCCUAAACGAUGUACACUAGUUGUUGUGAGGCUCGACCUUGCAGUAAUGCAGUUAACACAUUAAGUGUACCGCCUGGGGAGUACGGUCGCAAGAUUAA
rnacentral:rRNA from 1 species